rnacentral:tRNA from 1 species
GCCUCGUUAGUUCAGUGGUUAGAACCCUUGCUUCCCAUCUUCAUCUUGAUAAGCAAGGGACCCGAGUCCGAAUCUCGGACGAAGCA